rnacentral:rRNA from 1 species
AUGAGAAUUGAAAGUGUGACACCCCCUCUCGCUGCAGUGCUGCAAAAUGCCACUGCCGGGCUCCUGAGCGAGCACCAUAGAAGUGAUGGUGCUCCGGCAGAAAGAGCGUCCUACUACAUCCCGAACGGAGAUCGUGGCCCCUCCAAGACAAUCCCCAAGCACCUGGACACCCCGUUCCCACGCAGCCCGCAGCCGAAUGACAUCAUCUUCGACGUGGUCACCGUAUCCGCCGCCGCUGACCGGUUUGAUGGGUUCAGGAGGGCGAUGCGGGAGCUGAAGCUGCAACCGAUGCUCAUCAGGCCCACGGUCGGCGCCGCAAAGAAGGUUGACGGGGAGGAGGAAGCUUCCGGUAGCAGCAGCGCGUCGCCGACGGCCAGGAAGAGGCAGCAGCGGCUAUGGAUGAAGCCAAGAGGCGGGAUGAAGGGGAAGACUCCAGCGGAUGCGCAGACUCCGGAAGUGACCACCGUUCCGCAAAGGAGAUGCCCGAGGCACCAGCUCUAG